UACGUAGGGUGCAAGCGUUAAUCGGGAUUACUGGGCGUAAAGCGUGCGCAGGCGGUUAUGUAAGGCAGAUGUGAAAUGCCCGGGCUUAACCUGGGAACUGCAUUUGUGACUGCAUGGCUAGAGUUUGGCAGAGGGGGGUAGAAUUCCACGUGUAGCAGUGAAAUGCGUAGAUAUGUGGAGGAACACCGAUGGCGAAGGCAGCCCCCUGGGUCAAGACUGACGCUCAUGCACGAAAGCGUGGGGAGCAAACAGG
rnacentral:rRNA from 1 species